GUAUGGCGUAUAGCAUUUUGCCAUAUUGAGAAGUUCUUCAGAAAAAUGUUCCAUUGAGGAGUUCAACCAAAGGUUGGCUAGAAUGAGGAUGGUGACCAAUGUUGCCAACCAGUUCAUUUGAAAAUUUGCCAUCUGAAAGAGUAGCUAUGUAAGCGAAAGGCACUAUACUAGAAGCUAGGGAAGAAGAGUCAAAAAUAAAAGAAUUUCUGUUCUCAAAGAGCUUCAAUCUGCUGAAGGGACUUUCCUCGCACAUAAGUAAGUAUAACAGAAGAUAGGGAGUGAUGGGGCCAACAAAGGGAUUGGGCAACAUUAUUCUAGGAAUAUUUGAGGAGAGAGAGAACACUGAAGGCAGGGAGAAUCAGGAAAGCCUUCCUGGGGGAGGUGUCCUCUGCUUCAAUGAAGGUUGAUAGUUUUAUAAAAAUUGUGUAUUCAAUUUUGCUAGUCUUGGGAUUCAAUAUAAAGAAUUUAUUAUAUCAAUCAGCCUUUGAUAUGUAAAUACCAGGUGUUACCAAUAACUCUAAGGCAGGAGAAAUAUCUUGAUAUCUCCCAGAAGAAUUAGGUUGCAGAAAUUUAUAUUAUAUAUUGCAAUAUGUAAUAUGCACAAAUUGUACAUUAUAAAUUGUUUCCUUCUUUAAUUUGACUCAAAAUGUAUACAUCCUGGUUCUUUUGAGUGGUUUGUAAUGGUAAGUAAUCAUAAAACACAAUUUAGCCCAAUCAGCAUGAGUCUAAUGAAAAACAGACCAAAAGUCAAAAGAAAAUCAGGCAGCAGGCUUCAUUUGAUUUUCCCUUUUUAUUAAAAAAAAGUCUAUUUGAUUGUCUCUUUAUUUAUUUGGGGGCAGAACUUUUGAUUACUUUGGAAAAAGGAACUUGUGAAAAGGAAUCCUUUUGUUUCUGGGCAUAUUGGAAUGUGCCCUGUAACUGUUAGUUUUAAUGAGAUAUCGAGUGACUUGCCCAGGGUCUUACAGCCAGUGUUUGUCAGAGUCAGGAAUUGAAUACAGAUCUCAACUCUGAGGCUAAUUUAGAGGAUAAAGUUCUGGACCUGGCUAGAGUGAGGAAGACCUGAAUUACAAUCUGGCACCUUGGGCAAGUCAUUUAACCCCUGCCUCAGUUUCUUUAGAUCUAGAAUGAGAACAGUAUCUAUCUCACAGGAGUGUUGUGAGGGCCAAAAGAGAUGUUUCAAAAGUACUCAGCCCAGGGCCUGACAUGUAGUAGCUGCUUACUACCCUUUUCCUUCCCCCUCAUGCCAUAAUGCCUCUUAUGGGAUGGUGGGGAUGAAAGAUGUGGAGCUGGAAAGGGUUCUCUGUGGUUAUCUAGUCCAACCUAAUUUCUAGGUAUAAGAAGUUAAGGGAAUUCCCUAAGGAAACACAGAGAUGGAAUUGGAACCCACAUCCUCUUACUACAGAUUCAGUCCAUUAUUUCUACUGUAUCACAUUGAUUUAGUUUUAUUUAAUUUAGCAGACUUCAUUAAAUAUCUAUCACAUUCAAGACAUUAUUCAAGGUGUUGGUAAAGACACAGAUAUUAAAAUAAUUAUAGAUCCUCUAGCCUCAAGAUGAUUGUAUCCUAUUAGAGGGGAAAUACAUGUACAUACAUAUAAUCCAUGGUGGUAAGUUACUGAUCCUAUGAUCAUAGGUUUAGAUUUAAAAUGGACCUUAGAGAUACCUCUUAUAAUGUGGAAACCGAGGCCUAGAGAAAUUAAGUGACUUGCUCAGUCAUACAAAUUAUAAGAGUUGAAAUUAGGGUUUUAACCCACGUGUCUUCUGGCUCUAAAUUUAACAUUCUUCAUAGUUGAUUACACACUGAGAAAACAAAAAGGAUCCAGGGAUAUUCAAUUUGAUUCUUCCAAUUCAAUUUAAAUGAUUCUUAAGUUCUUUUUAUUUAGUUUGAUCAGCUUAGCUGUGUGAGGAAUACACAAAGAUGAAAAAGGAAAUAGGUACUCACCUCAAUGAACUAAGAUUCUGCUGAGGGGAAAAACAUAGUCACAAAAAAGUAAUACAAGUUUGUACCUCAAAGAGAUCAUAAGGAUAAAGACGUGUAGAAGAAUAUUCAUAGCCACACUGUUUGUGGUGGCAAAAAAUUGGAAAAUGAGGGGAUGCCCUUCGAUUGGGGAAUGGCUGAACAAAUUGUGGUAUAUGUUGGUGAUGGAAUGCUAUUGUGCUCAAAGGAAUAAUAAAGUGGAGGAAUUCCAUGGGAACUGGAACAACCUCCAGGAAGUGAUGCAGAGUGAGAGGAGCAGAACCAGGAGAACAUUGUACACAGAGACUGAUACACUGUGACAUAAUAGAAUGUAAUGGACUUCUCUGCUAGCAGCAAUGCAAUGAUCCAGAACUGUUCUGAAGGACUUAUGAAAACACUAUCCACAUUCAGAGGAAGAACUGUGGGGGUAGAAACACAGAAGAAAAAUGACUACUUCAUCACUUGAUCACAUGGGUUGAUGGGGAUAUGAUUGGGAAUAUAGAUUCUAUAUGAUCACCCUAGUACAAACAUCAAUAAUAUGAAAAUAGGUCUUGAUCAAUGACACAAGUAAAACCCAGUGGAACUGUGUAUUGAAUAUGGGAGGGGGUUGGAGGAGGAGAGGGAAACAUGAU